rnacentral:rRNA from 1 species
GACGAACGCUGGCGGCGUGCUUAACACAUGCAAGUCGAGCGGUAAGGCCCUUUCGGGGGUACACGAGCGGCGAACGGGUGAGUAACACGUGGGUGACCUGCCCUCAGCUCUGGGAUAAGCCUGGGAAACUGGGUCUAAUACUGGAUAUGACUCCACGGUGCAUGUCGUGGGGUGGAAAGCCUUGUGCGGCUGAGGAUGGGCCCGCGGCCUAUCAGCUUGUUGGUGGGGUGANGGCCUACCAAGGCGACGACGGGUAGCCGGCCUGAGAGGGCGACCGGCCACACUGGGACUGAGACACGGCCCAGACUCCUACGGGAGGCAGCAGGUGGGGAAUCUUGCGCAAGUGGGACGAAAGCCUGACGCAGCGACGCCGCGUGA